UUCAGCAGGGCCGAAAGAUGCGAUUGCUCGGAGUUUUACUUGGCCUAAUGGCCGUGCUACUGGCAGCGGUUGAGUUUGUAGCCAGCGUUUCAUUGAGAAAAAGGAUUUGUUCGCUACGUCCCGAAUAUGGAGAUUGCGAGGGACAUCGCCUGUUGUGGGCCUACGAUUCGAUGGAUGGAAAAUGCCGUCAAUUUGUGUACUCUAACUGUGGCGGCAAUCUGAACCGUUUCUUUAACGAAAGAAAUUGUUAUCGGACGUGUCAGGAUUAUACGUAUGUAGGAGUCUCAGGCCAAAUGAUGCCCUAUGAGAGAAACUAAAAUAUUCAUUACUUUAUUCAUGAAUGUGCAACCUAGCGAUUGAAAUAAAGGCAUGGAUUGCUAGCCUUUCGACCA